AUUGAACGCUGGCGGCAUGCUUUACACAUGCAAGUCGAACGGUAACAGGGAGCUUGCUCCGCUGACGAGUGGCGAACGGGUGAGUAAUGCAUCGGAACGUACCCAGUCGUGGGGGAUAACGUAGCGAAAGUUACGCUAAUACCGCAUACGUCCUGAGGGAGAAAGCGGGGGACCGAAAGGCCUCGCGCGAUUGGAGCGGCCGAUGUCGGAUUAGCUAGUUGGUAGGGUAAAGGCCUACCAAGGCGACGAUCCGUAGCGGGUCUGAGAGGAUGAUCCGCCACACUGGGACUGAGACACGGCCCAGACUCCUACGGGAGGCAGCAGUGGGGAAUUUUGGACAAUGGGCGCAAGCCUGAUCCAGCCAUGCCGCGUGAGUGAAGAAGG
rnacentral:rRNA from 1 species